GAUGAACGCUGGCGGCGUGCCUAAUACAUGCAAGUCGAACGAGGUGCCUUUGUAGCAAUACGAAGGUAUCCUAGUGGCGAACGGGUGAGUAACGCGUUGGUGACCUACCCCAAAGUGUGGGAUAACAGAUCGAAAGAUCUGCUAAUACCGCAUGUGGUCUUCGGAUUUAGAAACUGAUGACUAAAGGAGCAAUUCGCUUUGGGAGGGACCUGCGUCCCAUCAGCUAGUUGGUGAGGUAAUGGCUCACCAAGGCUACGACGGGUAGGGGACCUGAGAGGGUGGCCCCCCACAAUGGAACUGAAACACGGUCCAUACACCUACGGGUGGCAGCAGUAGGGAAUAUUGCACAAUGGGCGAAAGCCUGAUGCAGCAACGCCGCGUGUGCGAUGAAGGCCUUCGGGUUCGGUAAAGACACUUUCUUGAGGGAGUGAGC
rnacentral:rRNA from 1 species